rfam:Picea glauca, whole genome shotgun sequence.
ACAUGCCUACAACAUAGCGUUAAUGCAUCGGAUCCCAUUAGAACUCCGCAGUUGAACGCCACUGCAGAGUUCUAACAGGAUCUAAUGCAUUAACUCUAUGUUGUAGGCAUGUA